rnacentral:pre_miRNA from 1 species
AACAAACCAAUUUUUCACUUUUUACCUAUAAUGUUUGACUCUUUGUUUUAUUCAAAAAAAAUUUACGAUUAAAAUUUUUGUUUUUAUUAGAUGAUAAAUCAUGAAUAGUACUUUACAUGUAACUAUUUUUUCUCAGUUUCUUAAAAAAUUUUCAAAUAAGACGAAUGGUCAAACGCUGUACACAGAAACCGAAAGAUUGGUUAGAU